rnacentral:rRNA from 1 species
UAUGCUUUACACAUGCAAGUCGUACGGAAGUUUUUAACUUAGUGGCGGACGGGUGAGUAACACGUAAGAAUUUGCCUUUAGGAGGGGGAUAACAACUGGAAACGGUUGCUAAUACCCCAUAUGCUUUCGAGUGAAACGGUUUUUCCGCCUAAAGAGAAGCUUGCGGCUGAUUAGCUUGUUGGUAAGGUAAUGGCUUACCAAGGCGACGAUCAGUAUCUGGUUUGAGAGGACGAUCAGACACACUGGAACUGAGACACGGUCCAGACUCCUACGGGAGGCAGCAGUGGGGAAUUUUCCGCAAUGGGCGAAAGCCUGACGGAGCAAUACCGCGUGAGGGAUGACGGCCUAUGGGUUGUAAACCUCUUUUUUCAGGGAGGAAUCAAUGACGUGUACCUGAAGAAUAAGCAUCGGCUAACUCCGUGCCAGCAGCCGCGGUAAGACGGAGGAUGCAAGUGUUAUCCGGAAUCACUGGGCGUAAAGCGUCUGUAGGUGGUUUAAUAAGUCAACUGUUAAAUCUUGAGGCUUAACCUCGAAAUCGCAGUCGAAACUAUUAGACUAGAGUAUAGUAGGGGUAAAGGGAAUUUCCAGUGGAGCGGUGAAAUGCGUAGAUAUUGGAAAGAACACCAAUGGCGAAGGCACUUUACUGGGCUAUUACUAACACUGAGAGACGAAAGCUAGGGUAGCAAAUGGGAUUAGAUACCCUGGUAGUC